rnacentral:rRNA from 1 species
AAUGAACGCUGGCGGCAUGCCUUGCACAUGCAAGUCGAACGGCAGCAUGACCUAGCUUGCUAGGUUGAUGGCGAGUGGCGAACGGGUGAGUAAUGCAUCGGAACGUGCCUUUUAGUGGGGGAUAACGUAGCGAAAGUUACGCUAAUACCGCAUAUUCUCUGAGGAGGAAAGCAGGGGACCUUCGGGCCUUGCGCUAGAAGAGCGGCCGAUGUCGGAUUAGCUAGUUGGUGAGGUAAAGGCUCACCAAGGCAACGAUCCGUAGCGGGUCUGAGAGGAUGAUCCGCCACACUGGGACUGAGACACGGCCCAGACUCCUACGGGAGGCAGCAGUGGGGAAUUUUGGACAAUGGGCGCAAGCCUGAUCCAGCCAUGCCGCGUGAGUGAAGAAGGCCUUCGGGUUGUAAAGCUCUUUCGGCUGGGAAGAAAUCGCACCCUCUAAUACAGGGUGUGGAUGACGGUACCAGCAUAAGAAGCACCGGCUAACUACGUG